rnacentral:rRNA from 1 species
AUUUGGGAAAGGGGGAUAAACUCACUUGGAAACGUAGCUAAUACCGCAUAACGUCGCAAGACCAAAGAGGGGGACCUUCGGGCCUCUUGCCAUCAGAUGUGCCCAGAUGGGAUUAGCUAGUAGGUGGGGUAAUGGCUCACCUAGGCGACGAUCCCUAGCUGGUCUGAGAGGAUGACCAGCCACACUGGAACUGAGACACGGUCCAGACUCCUACGGGAGGCAGCAGUGGGGAAUAUUGCACAAUGGGCGCAAGCCUGAUGCAGCCAUGCCGCGUGUGUGAAGAAGGCCUUCGGGUUGUAAAGCACUUUCAGCGAGGAGGAAGGUGGUGAGCUUAAUACGCUCAUCAAUUGACGUUACUCGCAGAAAAAGCACCGGCUAACUCCGUGCCAGCAGCCGCGGUAAUACGGAGGGUGCAAGCGUUAAUCGGAAUUACUGGGCGUAAAGCGCACGCAGGCGGUUUGUUAAGUCAGAUGUGAAAUCCCCGGG